AACGAACGCUGGCGGCAGGCUUAACACAUGCAAGUCGAACGCCCCGCAAGGGGAGUGGCAGACGGGUGAGUAACGCGUGGGAAUCUACCCAGUUCUACGGAACAACUGAGGGAAACUUCAGCUAAUACCGUAUACGCCUACGGGGAAGAUUAUCGGAAUUGGAUGAGCCCGCGUUGGAUUAGCUAGUUGGUGAGGUAACGGCUCACCAAGGCGACGAUCCAUAGCUGGUCUGAGAGGAUGAUCAGCCACACUGGGACUGAGACACGGCCCAGACUCCUACGGGAGGCAGCAGUGGGGAAUAUUGGACAAUGGGCGCAAGCCUGAUCCAGCCAUGCCGCGUGAGUGAUGAAGGCCUUAGGGUGUAAGCUCUUCAGUGGGGACGGAUAAUGACGGUACCCGACAGAAGAAGACCCGGCUAACUUCGUGCCAGCAGCCGC
rnacentral:rRNA from 1 species